GACGAACGCUGGCGGCGUGCUUAACACAUGCAAGUCGAACGGAAAGGCCCUGCUUGUGUGGGGUGCUCGAGUGGCGAACGGGUGAGUAACACGUGAGUAACCUGCCCUUGACUUUGGGAUAACUUCAGGAAACUGGGGCUAAUACCGGAUAGGAGCUCCUGCUGCAUGGGGGGGGUUGGAAAGUUUCGGCGGUUGGGGAUGGACUCGCGGCUUAUCAGCUUGUUGGUGGGGUAGUGGCUUACCAAGGCUUUGACGGGUAGCCGGCCUGAGAGGGUGACCGGCCACCUUGGGCCUGAGAUACGGCCCAGACUCCUACGGGAGGCAGCAGUGGAGAAUAUUGCACAAUGGGCGGACGCCUGAUGCAGCAGCGCCGCGUGCGGGAUGACGGCCUUCGGGUUGUAAACCGCUUUCGCCUGUGACGAAGCGUGAGUGACGGUAAUGGGUAAAGAAGCACCGGCUAACUACGUG
rnacentral:rRNA from 1 species